CCGGGAGACACACGGCGGGUGCUAACGUCCGUCGUGAAGAGGGAAACAACCCAGACCGCCGGCUAAGGUCCCAAAGUUCUGGUUAAGUGGGAAACGAUGUGGGAAGGCUCAGACAGCUAGGAUGUUGGCUUAGAAGCAGCCAUCAUUUAAAGAAAGCGUAAUAGCUCACUAGUCGAGUCGGCCUGCGCGGAAGAUGUAACGGGGCUCAAACCAGGCACCGAAGCCGCGGAUUCACACUUAUGUGUGAGUGGUAGGGGAGCGUUCUGUAAGUCUGCGAAGGUGUAUCGAGAGGUAUGCUGGAGAUAUCAGAAGUGCGAAUGCUGACGUAAGUAACGAUAAAGGGGGUGAAAAGCCUCCUCGCCGGAAGACCAAGGGUUCCUGUCCAACGUUAAUCGGGGCAGGGUGAGUCGACCCCUAAGGCGAGGCCGAAAGGCGUAGUCGAUGGGAAGCAGGUUAAUAUUCCUGCACGACUUGUAAUUGCGAUGGGGGGACGGAGAAGGCUAGGUGGGCCAGGCGACGGUUGUCCUGGUGAAAGUGCGUAGGUGGUGUUUGUAGGCAAAUCCGCAGACACAACGCUGAGACACGAGACGAACACACUACGGUGUGGAAGCCAUUGAUGCCCUGCUUCCAGGAAAAGCCUCUAAGCUUCAGAUUACAAGUCAUCGUACCCCAAACCGACACAGGUGGUCGGGUAGAGAAUACCAAGGCGCUUGAGAGAACUCGGGUGAAGGAACUAGGCAAAAUAGAACCGUAACUUCGGGAGAAGGUUCGCUCCUGACAGUGAAGUCCCUUGCGGAUGGAGCAGUUGGGAGUCGCAGUGACCAGAUGGCUGGGACUGUUUAUCAAAAACACAGCACUCUGCAAACACGAAAGUGGACGUAUAGGGUGUGACACCUGCCCGGUGCCGGAAGGUUAAUUGAUGGGGUUAGCGCAAGCGAAGCUCUUGAUCGAAGCCCCGGUAAACGGCGGCCGUAACUAUAACGGUCCUAAGGUAGCGAAAUUCCUUGUCGGGUAAGUUCCGACCUG
rnacentral:rRNA from 1 species